rnacentral:rRNA from 1 species
CCUACGGGUGGCAGCAGUGGGGAAUAUUGGACAAUGGGCGAAAGCCUGAUCCAGCCAUGCCGCGUGUGUGAAGAAGGCCUUCGGGUUGUAAAGCACUUUCAGUGGGGAAGAAAGCCUUGGGGCUAAUACCCUCGAGGAAGGACAUCACCCACAGAAGAAGCACCGGCUAACUCCGUGCCAGCAGCCGCGGUAAUACGGAGGGUGCGAGCGUUAAUCGGAAUUACUGGGCGUAAAGCGCGCGUAGGCGGUCUGAUAAGCCGGUUGUGAAAGCCCCGGGCUCAACCUGGGAACGGCAUUCGGAACUGUCAGGCUAGAGUGCAGGAGAGGAAGGUAGAAUUCCCGGUGUAGCGGUGAAAUGCGUAGAGAUCGGGAGGAAUACCAGUGGCGAAGGCGGCCUUCUGGACUGACACUGACGCUGAGGUGCGAAAGCGUGGGUAGCAAACAGGACUAGAUACCCGAGUAGUC